UAUUAUACCAAAUAUUAAUUUAUAAACCUGAUUAGUAAGAGUUAUAUACUUUAAAUUUGAAAAAUUUGGCGGUGAUUUAGUCUUGUCAGAGGAACCUGUUUUUAAAUCGAUACACCACGAAGAAUCUUACUUAAGUUUAGUAAUAAGGGUAUGUAUACCAUCAUUAUUAGGUAAUUUUUAUAGAAUUUAAUUACUGAGAUGCAAUAUUAAUAAAGUUAAAUAUAUUAGAUCAAGGUGCAGCUUAUACUUAAGUUAAAAUGGGUUACAAUAUUAUUUAAUAUAUUACGAAAACGUAUUUUAAAAGUACUUGGAAGGAGGAUUUGAUUGUAAGUUCAGUUUAAUAUGCUGAAUAGAUAUAAGCUCUAAAUCAUGU
rnacentral:rRNA from 1 species